rnacentral:tRNA from 1 species
UGUACCGUAGCUCAAUGGUCGAGCGUUCGCCUGUUAAGCGAGUGGUUGCUGGUUCGAGUCCAGCCGGUACAG